ACACAUGCAAGUCGAACGGAAAGGCCCAGCUUGCUGGGUGCUCGAGUGGCGAACGGGUGAGUAACACGUGGGUGAUCUGCCCCUAACUUCGGGAUAAGCUUGGGAAACUGGGUCUAAUACCGGAUAGGACAAUCGUUUAGUGUCGGUUGUGGAAAGUUUUUUCGGUUAGGGAUGAGCCCGCGGCCUAUCAGCUUGUUGGUGGGGUAAUGGCCUACCAAGGCGUCGACGGGUAGCCGGCCUGAGAGGGUGGACGGCCACAUUGGGACUGAGAUACGGCCCAGACUCCUACGGGAGGCAGCAGUGGGGAAUAUUGCACAAUGGGCGCAAGCCUGAUGCAGCGACGCCGCGUGGGGGAUGACGGCCUUCGGGUUGUAAACCUCUUUCGACAGGGACGAAGCUUUGGUGACGGUACCUGUAUAAGAAGCACCGGCUAACUACGUGCCAGCAGCCGCGGUAAUACGUAGGGUGCGAGCGUUGUCCGGAAUUACUGGGCGUAAAGAGCUCGUAGGUGGUUUGUCGCGUCGUCUGUGAAAUUCCGGGGCUUAACUUCGGGCGUGCAGGCGAUACGGGCAUAACUUGAGUGCUGUAGGGGAGACUGGAAUUCCUGGUGUAGCGGUGGAAUGCGCAGAUAUCAGGAGGAACACCGAUGGCGAAGGCAGGUCUCUGGGCAGUAACUGACGCUGAGGAGCGAAAGCAUGGGGAGCGAACAGGAUUAGAUACCCUGGUAGUCCAUGCCGUAAACGGUGGGCGCUAGGUGUAGGGGUCUUCCACGACUUCUGUGCCGUAGCUAACGCAUUAAGCGCCCCGCCUGGGGAGUACGGCCGCAAGGCUAAAACUCAAAGGAAUUG
rnacentral:rRNA from 1 species